rnacentral:rRNA from 1 species
AUUGAACGCUGGCGGCAGGCCUAACACAUGCAAGUCGAGCGGAUGAAGGGAGCUUGCUCCUGGAUUCAGCGGCGGACGGGUGAGUAAUGCCUAGGAAUCUGCCUGGUAGUGGGGGAUAACGUCCGGAAACGGGCGCUAAUACCGCAUACGUCCUGAGGGAGAAAGUGGGGGAUCUUCGGACCUCACGCUAUCAGAUGAGCCUAGGUCGGAUUAGCUAGUUGGUGGGGUAAAGGCCUACCAAGGCGACGAUCCGUAACUGGUCUGAGAGGAUGAUCAGUCACACUGGAACUGAGAAACGGUCCAGACUCCUACGGGAGGCAGCAGUGGGGAAUAUUGGACGAUGGGCGAAAGCCUGAUCCAGCCAUGCCGCGUGUGUGAAGAAGGUCUUCGGAUGGUAAAGCACUUUAAGUUGGGAGGAAGGGCAGUAAGUUAAUACCUUGCUGUUUUGACGUUACCAACAGAAUAAGCACCGGCUAACUUCGUG